rnacentral:rRNA from 1 species
AACAGCUCAAAUUUGAAAUCUGGCGCAAGCCCGAGUUGUAAUUUGUAGAGGAUGCUUCUGGGCAGCGGCCGGUCUAAGUUCCUUGGAACAGGACGUCAUAGAGGGUGAGAAUCCCGUAUGCGACUGGUUGGCACCCGUCACGUAGCUCCUUCGACGAGUCGAGUUGUUUGGGAAUGCAGCUCUAAAUGGGAGGUAAAUGCCUUCUAAAGCUAAAUACCGGCCAGAGACCGAUAGCGCACAAGUAGAGUGAUCGAAAGAUGAAAAGCACUUUGGAAAGAGAGUUAAAAAGCACGUGAAAUUGUUGAAAGGGAAGCGCAUGCAACCAGACUUGUCGGCGGUGUUCCGCCGGUCUUCUGACCGGUCUACUCGCCGCCGACAGGCCAGCAUCAUCUGGGAGCGCCGGAUAAAGGUGUCGAGA